rnacentral:pre_miRNA from 1 species
UAAUCUCAAUUUGUAAAUGUGAGCGAUUUGAGCCAUUUGACGGACUCACUUUGCAACUGGAGAUUGCU